AGUGAACGCUGGCGGUAGGCCUAACACAUGCAAGUCGAACGGCAGCACAGUAAGAGCUUGCUCUUACGGGUGGCGAGUGGCGGACGGGUGAGGAAUACAUCGGAAUCUACUUUUUCGUGGGGGAUAACGUAGGGAAACUUACGCUAAUAACGCAUACGACCUACGGGUGAAAGCAGGGGAUCUUCGGACCUUGCGCGAUUGAAUGAGCCGAUGUCGGAUUAGCUAGUUGGCGGGGUAAAGGCCCACCAAGGCGACGAUCCGUAGCUGGUCUGAGAGGAUGAUCAGCCACACUGGAACUGAGACACGGUCCAGACUCCUACGGGAGGCAGCAGUGGGGAAUAUUGGACAAUGGGCGCAAGCCUGUUCCAGCCAUACCGCGUGGGUGAAGAAGGCCUUCGGGUUGUAAAGCCCUUUUGUUGGGAAAGAAAAGCAGCAGGUUAAUACCCCGCUGUUCUGACGGUACCCAAAGAAUAAGCACCGGCUAACUUCGUG
rnacentral:rRNA from 1 species